UUGCUCUUCAACGAGGAAUCCCUAGUAAGCGCAAGUCAUCAGCUUGCGUUGAUUACGUCCCUGCCCUUUGUACACACCGCCCGUCGCUACUACCGAUUGAAUGGCUCAGUGAGGCGUCCGGACUGGCCCAGAGAGGUGGGCAACUACCACUCAGGGCCGGAAAGCUCUCCAAACUCGGUCAUUUAGAGGAAGUAAAAGUCGUAACAAGGUCUCCGUUGGUGAACCAGCGGAGGGAUCAUUACCGAGUUUACAACUCCCAAACCCCUGUGAACAUACCUAUACGUUGCCUCGGCGGAUCAGCCCGCGCCCCGUAAAAAGGGACGGCCCGCCCGAGGACCCCUAAACUCUGUUUUUAGUGGAACUUCUGAGUAAAACAAACAAAUAAAUCAAAACUUUCAACAACGGAUCUCUUGGUUCUGGCAUCGAUGAAGAACGCAGCAAAAUGCGAUAAGUAAUGUGAAUUGCAGAAUUCAGUGAAUCAUCGAAUCUUUGAACGCACAUUGCGCCCGCCAGUAUUCUGGCGGGCAUGCCUGUUCGAGCGUCAUUUCAACCCUCAAGCUCUGCUUGGUGUUGGGACUCGCGGUAACCCGCGUUCCCCAAAUCGAUUGGCGGUCACGUCGAGCUUCCAUAGCGUAGUAAUCAUACACCUCGUUACUGGUAAUCGUCGCGGCCACGCCGUAAAACCCCAACUUCUGAAUGUUGACCUCGGAUCAGGUAGGAAUACCCGCUGAACUUAAGCAUAUCAAUAAGCGGAGGA
rnacentral:rRNA from 1 species